UACAGAGAGUGCAAGCGUUGUUCGGAAUUACUGGGCGUAAAGCGUGCGUAGUCGGUUAUUUAAGUCGGGUGUGAAAGCCCCGGGCUCAACCUGGGAAUUGCAUUCGAUACUGGAUAGCUAGAGUUCGGCAGAGGGAAGCGGAAUUUCCGGUGUAGCGGUGAAAUGCGUAGAUAUCGGAAGGAACAUCAGUGGCGAAAGCGGCUUCCUGGACCAGAACUGACGAUCAGGCACGAAAGCGUGGGGAGCAAACAGG
rnacentral:rRNA from 1 species